GUUCGCGACCUCGCCGCUCUAUCCCUGUCCG
rnacentral:tRNA from 1 species